UAAAAAAAAGGAUCACUGGCUUCCAGUUGAGUCUGGGGGUUUUGGCCUUGUUGACUGUCCUAAGCACCGUGGGGAUUGCAAACAGCUUUCUGGAUGAAUACCUGGACUUCAAUGUUGCCGAGAAACUGAGAAACAAAUCGUUUCUCACCCGUCUUGAUAAUGAUGCCAUCCUCAACCAAUAAGAUACCAUCUUUUUGGAGGCCAGCCAGCACGGGCAACCAAAGAAAAGAAGGGCCUCUGUUCACCCCAUCCUGCGGUGUUUUGCACGAAACCGUUGCAAUGAAUUAAUUGUAUAGACACAGCGUAGACAAGAAACCAUGCUAAUCUUUUAGGCAGCAAUCUAAGAACAUUCCUGAGAGUAAGAAUUUACGAAGCACGUGAGCCAGCCCCCUUCCACCCUCGCCCCCCAUGCUGAUUCUACAGACCCCUGUACCAGAAGCCACGAGAAAAGAGCCAGACUUGAACUGAAGAACGGUCUCUGGCAAUUGGGUCUUCAAAUGGAUGGCGGAAGCCUGUCUUUUCGGAACAAACUAAUUCAUUCGAAGAAAAAGCCUAACUAACGGAAAGGUCUACAUUCUGCAGGUUCUUCUGUGAUCUCAGGAAAUGCUGGCCUGUGAAUUUCUUGAUGAAGGACAUGAACUGAGACUCCCUCACAGACACCAGGCACUGAAUAAGCGUUUGCCGAACGAAUGGAUCACACCACGGGCGUGAGUUACCUGCUCCGCCAGAAUCUGCUGCUGCUGCUGCCUCUGCUCCCGCAGGAACUGUUGCUUCUGCUGCCCCAUCAGCUGGGCCCGCUGAUCAAUGAGCAUCUGCUUCAUGAGGGCUGCCUGGGGCUGGCUGCCCAGGAAGCUGGGCCCUGCUGGACCAGCUCCGGAGACCAUGCCGCCAGAGCCCGGGGGUACGGAGGACUGCAUGGGGCCCGUGGUCCGGGGAAGCCCGACCGGAUGCUGCUCCUGGAAGGACAGGAAGAGAAGAGAAUGCAGCCACUCCACCUCUGAAGGAAAGCACAGGGGUUAGGGGGAUGGGGUAGGGCCCGGCUUAGGGACCUACGGGAUCCCGAGAGGCACACAUUACAUUUCCAUAAAAAGAACCCAGUGGUCCUCAAACCUGGCCUUACCACAGGUGGGAUUGGAGAGGCUACAGGGCAACAGUAAUAGAGCACGGCUCUGGGAAAAUCUGAGACCCGGUCCAGUCUGUUUCUGAUGGGACUGGCUAAGGAACAAGAACCGCAUUUUCAGCUAGCAAUCUGUAAGUCUGGAAUGAGGCAUCCUCACCUUACCUCUUCAUCCUUACUGCCUGCCUGGCUAAACUGCGCUUCUUAGCUAGUAGGAGAGACGUUCACAGAAGACUGCUGGAAGUGAUUCAUCAGCAGAUUGCUAUUUGAUGAAAUUCUAAUUAAUUGUGACAUUUGAAAGCUUUAACAUGUGUAAAAAAAAAUCCUGCUAGUGAGAAUUGUUGAUGGUGAGAAGUAGGAGUGUGUUACCCUGACCAAAGAUACGAAAUCUCCCAACAUCUUUAAAGACAGAAUUGGGUCUCAGGUGUCUGGGAUAACUUAAACGCGGGGGGUUGAAUUGGGUCUCUUGAUUCUAUAAUUAUGUGUCCGUCAGUCAAAUCAAAUGAUGGCAACUUUUAAGGACUGGUCCUUAAGGAACAGGAGGUAAAGUGUUAGAGAACUCCUCACACACAGCCCAAGCCACUACUCGGAGACUGUACUCAGAGGGGAAGUAACAGCCCGACGGUGUAGACCAUUGGGGAAAAGCAGCUGAUGGGAAAAGUAGGUUUGUGACCGUAAGAUGUACUUUCUCGAUGCUUUCUUUCCUGUUCGCUCUAUCAAGCAUAGCUGGUAAUGGCAAAGUAUUGUCUGAACAUUUCACAGAAAGGUUUCUUUUAAUUCACUGAAGUUUCAAGUAAUUAGUCUGAACAAAGAGAAGCUGCUGAGAGGUACACAAGUUAAAUGGGUAUACGUGUAAGGACAUACACAGUCAUAUCAUGAGGCACAAUUAUGAGACUUAGAUCAUGAGAAACGAAUGUGAAUAACUCUACAGUAUUUACAUUUUUGUAUCCAGUUAAACUGGAUUAAAAAAAUUUCCUCAUUGUAAAAUCUAGAUAUUCAUUCUUUUUUUCCACACUGGUUAUUAUUUCCAGUUAUAUGGGGUGAAGGGAAUUAAGACUACACUGAUGUCUACAGGCAAGUGACUACCUUAAAUGGAUGUGUAUAGUUAUCACAUUUUAUUUGCAAUGGUAUUUCCAUCAUUAUUAAUGCAUUCCUUCAUUAAUGCAUGCCACUAGCCUGCUCUGUGAACAACAUGAAUUUUAUCCACCUCUUCUGAGCCAUCCUAUAUGAAAAACAGGGUGCAGUCAAACUGGAUUUUAAUAUUUGUCCUCUUUUUGCUUUGCUACCUCUUCAGUGUUGGUACAGUCAGUCACGUGGGCAGUUUCCUUUCAAAACAGAGAGUCGUGUUUGACACAACUCCUAGAGACGCAGCCCUGCAUUGCAGCCCCCAUAGCCUGGGCUUGUUGGACCCCCCUUCCCGCUACUGUGUGGAGCUCAGCCAUUCACGUCCUUCUUUCCAGGUACACCGAAACCCACAUCUUCGGUGUACUCUUCGUCCCUCCCAUCAGCACCCAAAGAAAACAAAACAAGCAAAACAAACAAAAAAACCAAACAAAACCCCUUUACUCCUCUCAUCUGGGAAACAACAGCUCAAGAAGUUUUGGUUAAUCAGUGCGGUGGCCCAGGUCACACAGUUAGCAAAUGGAAGAACCAGAACUUGCAGAACUGGAACACUGACUUUGAGUCUAAAUUCAGUAUUCCUUCCACAAGCAUAGGCCUUUCCCAGACGACGGGUCCACGGUGCCAAGCAUGUGCCUAAGAAUUGCCUGUAGACUAAAUAUAUAGUAUGUCUCCCAUAAAUAUACUGUGUUCUAUUUUUCAAAUGGUAAGUGUGGUGUUACUGAAAUUAAAACUUCUUGUCUUUGUGUAUUUUCUCUGUACAUAGACAAUUAUUAGGUAGAGAGCUAUGAGAUAUUAAUAAUAAAAAGACCUUAUACUCAGCAA